AAGGUAUUCCACAACUUGAUGUGUCUCAUCCAGAGAAUAAUGUGAUUAUAGUGACCUGUAAAUAUUAUGGUCCUUUGAAUGGACCUGAGAAUAGGAGGUUAUACAGAGCACGUCUUAAUGAUGGCACAAGGUUGAGAAGAAAGAAUGUGGCUUUGAAUUCAGAGAUCUGAGCUACUCUACGAGCUACGAAGUGAAGGUGACUGUCUGGAAUGGACACUUUGAGAGUAAUCCCACAAUACAAACAGUGACCACUUACUACAAUGAUAAAGCUGUCAUCGGAUUUUUCGUCUUCCUAAUCAUCACCAUCUCAUGUGUGGCGCUGGUUGUGGUGUUCUACAAGAUUUACAGACUAAAACACAGAAACUCCACAAAUGACGUGAAUGAAGAUAUGGAAAUGGAUUCAGAACCAAUUUAUGUGAAUGCUCGACCUCCUGCACGGCGUCAUAAAGAAGCUUACUGAUAAAGAAACCAGAUCACCAUCAACUCUCAGUGCUCAGGCAUGAAGUGUCUCAGUGUGGAGCAAAUAUUUAGUUAGUUUUUAGAACUUUAAUUGCCUUUUAAUCAUUUGCUAAUGUCUCAAAUAUUACAUCUUUUUAACAUGUGUGCUACCUUGAUGUGUCAUUUACAAAACUGCCUUUU